rnacentral:SRP_RNA from 1 species
GCUGGGUGCGGUGGCUCACGCCUGUAAUCCCAGCACUUUGGGAGGCCGAGGUGGGUGGAUCACCUGAGGUCAGGAGUUCGAGACCAGCCUGACCAACAUGGUGAAACCCCGUCUCUA